CUCCUACGGGGCGCAGCAGUGAGGAAUAUUGGUCAAUGGGCGCGAGCCUGAACCAGCCAAGUCGCGUGAGGGAAGACGGUCCUAUGGAUUGUAAACCUCUUUUGUCGGGGAGCAAAAGACGCCACGUGUGGCGUUCCGAGAGUACCCGAAGAAAAAGCAUCGGCUAACUCCGUGCCAGCAGCCGCGGUAAUACGGAGGAUGCGAGCGUUAUCCGGAUUUAUUGGGUUUAAAGGGUGCGUAGGCGGUUUGAUAAGUUAGAGGUGAAAUGUCGGGGCUCAACCCCGAAACUGCCUCUAAUACUGUUG
rnacentral:rRNA from 1 species